rnacentral:rRNA from 1 species
GCGAACGCUGGCGGCGUGCCUAAUACAUGCAAGUAGAACGCACAGUUUAUACCGUAGCUUGCUACACCAUAGACUGUGAGUUGCGAACGGGUGAGUAACGCGUAGGUAACCUGCCUGGUAGCGGGGGAUAACUAUUGGAAACGAUAGCUAAUACCGCAUAAUAUUAAUUAUUGCAUGAUAAUUAAUUGAAAGGUGCAAUUGCACCACUACCAGAUGGACCUGCGUUGUAUUAGCUAGUAGGUGAGGUAACGGCUCACCUAGGCGACGAUACAUAGCCGACCUGAGAGGGUGAUCGGCCACACUGGGACUGAGACACGGCCCAGACUCCUACGGGAGGCAGCAGUAGGGAAUCUUCGGCAAUGGACGAAAGUCUGACCGAGCAACGCCGCGUGAGUGAAGAAGGUUUUCGGAUCGUAAAGCUCUGUUGUAAGAGAAGAACGGGUGUGAGAGUGGAAAGUUCACACUGUGACGGUAUCUUACCAGAAAGGGACGGCUAACUACGUG